rnacentral:rRNA from 1 species
GGGGCAGCGUUAUCCGGAAUUAUUGGGCGUAAAGGGUACGUAGGUGGUUCUUAAGCGCAGGGUUUAGGCAAUGGCUCAACCAUUGUUCGCCCUGCGAACUGGAGAACUUGAGUGCAGGAGAGGAAACGGAAUUUCCUAGUGUAGCGGUGAAAUGCGUAGAUAUUAGGAGGAACACCAGUGGCGAAGCGGCUUUCUGGACUGUAACUGACACUGAGGUACGAAAGCGUGGGGAGCAAACAGGAUUAGUACCCUGGUAGUCCACGCCGUAAACGAUGAGCACUAGGUGUCGGGGGGAUAACUCUCGGUCCGCAGUUAACGCAUUAAGUGCUCCGCCUGGGGAGUACGCACGCAAGUGUGAAACUCAAAGAAUUGACGGGGACCCGCACAAGCAGCGGAGCAUGUGGUUUAAUUCGAAGCAACGCGAAGACCUUACCAGGACUUGACAUCCUUCUGACAGGACCUUAACCGGUCCCUCCUUCGGGCAGAGUGACAGGUGGUGCAUGGUUGUCGUCAGCUCGUGUCGUGAGAUGUUGGGUUAAGUCCCGCACGAGCGCAACCCUUGUCUUUAGUUGCCAGCAUUUUGGAUGGGCACUCUAGAGAGACUGCGGGGACAACUCGGAGGAAGGUGGGGAUGACGUCAAAUCAUCAUGCCCCUUAUGUUCUGGGUACACACGUGCUACAAUGGCUGGUACAAAGAGACGCAAGACCGCGAGGUGGAGCAAAUCUAAAAACCAGCCCCAGUUCGGAUUGCAGGCUGCAACUCGCCUGCAUGAAGUCGGAGUUGCUGUAAUCGCGGAUCAGAAUGCCGCGGUGAAUGCGUUCCCGGGUCUUGCACACACCGCCCGU